CGCUUUUGGUGUAAAAAGCACGCAUGCCUUCCAAGCUUGAAGUUUCUUUAAUUAGUAAAAGCG
rnacentral:tRNA from 1 species